rnacentral:rRNA from 2 species
AGUCUCAGGAAAAUAUCUGAGGUUUAACCUGCCCAAUGUGUAUUAUUAACGGCCGCGGUACUUUGACCGUGCUAAGGUAGCGCAAUCAAUUGGCUCUUAAUUGGGGUCAGGUAUGAAUGGAAUAACGGAGUUCAGCUGUCUCAAGAUUAAUAAUUUGAAAUUACUAUUUAGGUGAAAAAGCCUAAUACUAGAAAAGGGACGAGAAGACCCUUAGAGUUUUACUUAGUCAAAAUAUGAGUUAGAUAUUUUUAAUGGUUUAGUUGGGGCAACAUAGGAGCAUUGAAGUUAAUCUCCUAAAUAUAAUUAACCGAUUAUUUUAAAUUUGGAUAAACUACCUUAGGGAUAACAGCAUAAUUUAUUAAAUAAGUUUGUGACCUCGAUGUUGGACUAGGAAAUCUAAAGGCUAGCCGUUUUUAGAGAGAGUUCUGUUCGAACUAUUAUUCCU